rnacentral:rRNA from 1 species
GGGAUAUUGCACAAUGGGCGCAAGCCUGAUGACGCAACGCCGCGUGGGGGAUGAAGGUCUUCGGAUCGUAAACCCCUGUCGAAUGGGACGAAUAGCUUCCGGAUCAAUACCCCGGAGGAAGGACGGUACCGUUAAAGGAAGCCACGGCUAACUCCGUGCCAGCAGCCGCGGUAAUACAGAGGUGGCAAGCGUUGUUCGGAAUUACUGGGCGUAAAGGGCGCGUAGGCGGCCAUCUAAGUCAGACGUGAAAUCCCCCGGCUCAACCUGGGAACUGCGUCUGAUACUGGAAGGCUUGAGUUUGGGAGAGGGAUGUAGAAUUCCAGGUGUAGCGGUGAAAUGCGUAGAUAUCUGGAGGAAUACCGGUGGCGAAGGCGGCAUCCUGGACCAAUACUGACGCUGAGGCGCGAAAGCUAGGGGAGCAA